rnacentral:rRNA from 1 species
CAGCAGCCGCGGGAAUACGUAGGUGGCAAGCGUUGUCCGGAAUUAUUGGGCGUAAAGGGCUCGCAGGCGGUUUCUUAAGUCUGAUGUGAAAGCCCCCGGCUCAACCGGGGAGGGUCAUUGGAAACUGGGAAACUUGAGUGCAGAAGAGGAGAGUGGAAUUCCACGUGUAGCGGUGAGAUGCGUAGAGAUGUGGAGGAACACCAGUGGCGAAGGCGACUCUCUGGUCUGUAACUGACGCUGAGGAGCGAAAGCGUGGGGAGCGAACAGGAUUAGAUACCCGCGUAGUCCCUGUCUCUUAUAC